rnacentral:lncRNA from 1 species
AAGGAAUUUAACCUCUCUGUGUCUGUUUCCUCAUCUGUGAAACAACUGAGGAAACAAAAGUCCCCCUUAAAAUCCUGUCACUCAGUCCCAUCCGAUCCACAGAUGCAGCUUGAAUGCCUCCUCUCGUGGGUAGAAUUGUUCCUGGGGCUGUGCCUGCUUCCUCCACACCCUCCACUCACCCACCCGCAGGAGUAGGAGGGGUGUGACACAAAUAUGAACAAUCCUUGGCGGGGGGGGGGGGGUGGGGGGGUGAGGUGCGGUUCUUAUCUUUACCUUCUCCCCAGUUAUCUCAACCUAAUUUUACUUCAGGCUGGGAGAUAUCUUGGUCAAACCUCCUGACCCAGCCCUUGACCAGUCUUUUUUCAGAAGUGCCCAGGAUAGGGACUGGUUAGAGAGGGCUGCUGCCAGGACAACAGAAAGCAAACACUGUUGAAGGUGUCAUCAGUUCUGAGGAUGUGCCAGUGUAUGGGCCAACACUCCAGAGAAAGAGCAAAAUCAGAAUUUAAAGGCAGAAGAAUGGAGAAAGAAGAGGCUCCUUGCUUAAGUAAAUGGAACUCCCUAAUACCAAAGUCUAAUAGAUGAUUGAGAUUAACACCUAGUAGGUUAUCAUGAUGAUCAAGAUUACCAUGUUGCUUGUAUUGCCCUUGGUGUGAUCUAUGAUAUGGCACUAAGAAUGGCACUUUACCUCUUUGGUCUUCCUUCCAAAAACCUAGCCAACUCCAGUCUAAUUAUGAGAAAACAUUAGAUAAAUCCCAAUUGAGGCACACUCUACAAAAUACCUGAGGAGUACUACUCAAAACUGUCCAGGUCAUCAAAAACAAGGAAAGCCCGGGGCGCCUGGGUGGCGCAGUCGGUUAAGCGUCCGACUUCAGCCAGGUCACGAUCUUGCGGUCCGUGAGUUCGAGCCCCGUGUCAGGCUCAGGGCUGAUGGCUCGGAGCCUGGAGCCUGUUUCUGAUUCUGUGUCUCCCUCUCUCUCUGCCCCUCCCCCGGUUCAUGCUCUGUCUCUCUCUGUCCCAAAAAUAAAUAAACGUUGAAAAAAAAAAUAAAAAAAAAA